UUAAAUGUUCAUUGAUCGAUUAUUGUGCGAUUUUGAUUGUUGGCAAAUUAACCAACUGUUUAUCAGAACAGUGGAAACAGUGAUAUCUUCGUGCUUAUUCGUGAUUUAUAUUCGUACCACCUGAAGAAACCAAUUCUUGACAAGUGCGUGCAUCGCUCGUCGCUGCUUAAGAAUGCGAAAAGAUAUAAUCGAUUCGGACACGAACAGCACCUGGACCGCGGAGACUUCUACAUCCACGCUUCCGAUAUUCGACAAACAAACUCUGUUUGGAAUCGACAAACUAAUUGGAUCCCCUGUGAACAAUUUUGUUCGCAUACACGUAUUAAAAGUGAUAAAAACAGGCGUUUUAUCUUUUUUAAAAGAGGUACACCUUCGUCCGAUUUAUAUUCGUAACAGAAUUUAUUAUUAUUUUAAGAGGAUUUAAAAUGUAAAUCUAUGUGCGUGUGAGAUUUAAUGUUUUACUUAUUGGUAAUAGGAUAUAAAUGAUGAUCUUUAUGUUACAGAUACGGCUCGUUUAAGGUGCGCUGAAGGCACGUUUCGCGUGCAAAACAUUUACGGCGAUGGUAAUUGCAUGUUUCGGGCGAUUAGCUACAUUUUAUGGCAAAACGAGGACGAACAUCGGUAUCUUCGAUCAAUGGUGUGCAUCGUUUUCGUUUAUGUGAUUCUUUCAGGCAAACUACGAAAAAGAUCUAUACAUAUAGCAAAAUAAAUUGCUUGAAAUAAUCAAAGACUCUAUAGAAAGAAUAUUACAAAAUAUAUAAAAAUGUCCUAUAGGGGAACUAAAAUUUAAUAUUUAAUGCAUCGACGGAAAAUCAAAUUUGAUCCGUAUUUGAUAAAACGAAGGAAAUUCUUUCGAUGAACAAAAGAUUCUCCAUUUACUUCAAGCAAUCUAUAUCUCUAAUAUCUAUCGGUAUCUAUAUACCUUCUUAUCUUAACAAAAUUUCUAAUUUACAAACUAU